UAAAAAUAAGCUAAUUUAAGCUAAUGAGUUCAUACCUCAUUUAUAAAGGUAUAAAUCCUUUUUUUUAA
rnacentral:tRNA from 1 species